rnacentral:misc_RNA from 1 species
AACGCACGAGACCUGCGGACCUGCGGAAGGAUCAUUACCGAGUGCGGGCCCUCUGGGUCCAACCUCCCACCCGUGUUUAUUGUACCUUGUUGCUUCGGCGGGCCCGCCAUUCUGGCCGCCGGGGGGCUUGCCCCCGGGCCCGCGCCCGCCGAAGACACCCUCGAACUCUGUCUGAAGAUUGUAGUCUGAGUGGAAUUAUAAAUUAUUAAAACUUUUAGCAACGGAUCUCUAGAUCGGAAG